GAAUCAGUGUGUGUGUUAGUGGAAGCGUCUGGAAAGGCGCGCGAUACAGGGUGACAGCCCCGUACACAAAAAUGCACAUGCUGUGAGCUCGAUGAGUAGGGCGGGACACGUGGUAUCCUGUCUGAAUAUGGGGGGACCAUCCUCCAAGGCUAAAUACUCCUGACUGACCGAUAGUGAACCAGUACCGUGAGGGAAAGGCGAAAAGAACCCCGGCGAGGGGAGUGAAAAAGAACCUGAAACCGUGUACGUACAAGCAGUGGGAGCACGCUUAGGCGUGUGACUGCGUACCUUUUGUAUAAUGGGUCAGCGACUUAUAUUCUGUAGCAAGGUUAACCGAAUAGGGGAGCCGAAGGGAAACCGAGUCUUAACUGGGCGUUAAGUUGCAGGGUAUAGACCCGAAACCCGGUGAUCUAGCCAUGGGCAGGUUGAAGGUUGGGUAACACUAACUGGAGGACCGAACCGACUAAUGUUGAAAAAUUAGCGGAUGACUUGUGGCUGGGGGUGAAAGGCCAAUCAAACCGGGAGAUAGCUGGUUCUCCCCGAAAGCUAUUUAGGUAGCGCCUCGUGAAUUCAUCUCCGGGGGUAGAGCACUGUUUCGGCAAGGGGGUCAUCCCGACUUACCAACCCGAUGCAAACUGCGAAUACCGGAGAAUGUUAUCACGGGAGACACACGGCGGGUGCUAACGUCCGUCGUGAAGAGGGAAACAACCCAGACCGCCAGCUAAGGUCCCAAAGUCAUGGUUAAGUGGGAAACGAUGUGGGAAGGCCCAGACAGCCAGGAUGUUGGCUUAGAAGCAGCCAUCAUUUAAAGAAAGCGUAAUAGCUCACUGGUCGAGUCGGCCUGCGCGGAAGAUGUAACGGGGCUAAACCAUGCACCGAAGCUGCGGCAGCGACGCUUAUGCGUUGUUGGGUAGGGGAGCGUUCUGUAAGCCUGUGAAGGUGUGCUGUGAGGCAUGCUGGAGGUAUCAGAAGUGCGAAUGCUGACAUAAGUAACGAUAAAGCGGGUGAAAAGCCCGCUCGCCGGAAGACCAAGGGUUCCUGUCCAACGUUAAUCGGGGCAGGGUGAGUCGACCCCUAAGGCGAGGCCGAAAGGCGUAGUCGAUGGGAAACAGGUUAAUAUUCCUGUACUUGGUGUUACUGCGAAGGGGGGACGGAGAAGGCUAUGUUGGCCGGGCGACGGUUGUCCCGGUUUAAGCGUGUAGGCUGGUUUUCCAGGCAAAUCCGGAAAAUCAAGGCUGAGGCGUGAUGACGAGGCACUACGGUGCUGAAGCAACAAAUGCCCUGCUUCCAGGAAAAGCCUCUAAGCAUCAGGUAACAUCAAAUCGUACCCCAAACCGACACAGGUGGUCAGGUAGAGAAUACCAAGGCGCUUGAGAGAACUCGGGUGAAGGAACUAGGCAAAAUGGUGCCGUAACUUCGGGAGAAGGCACGCUGAUAUGUAGGUGAAGUCCCUUGCGGAUGGAGCUGAAAUCAGUCGAAGAUACCAGCUGGCUGCAACUGUUUAUUAAAAACACAGCACUGUGCAAACACGAAAGUGGACGUAUACGGUGUGACGCCUGCCCGGUGCCGGAAGGUUAAUUGAUGGGGUCAGCGCAAGCGAAGCUCUUGAUCGAAGCCCCGGUAAACGGCGGCCGUAACUAUAACGGUCCUAAGGUAGCGAAAUUCCUUGUCGGGUAAGUUCCGACCUGCACGAAUGGCGUAAUGAUGGCCAGGCUGUCUCCACCCGAGACUCAGUGAAAUUGAACUCGCUGUGAAGAUGCAGUGUACCCGCGGCAAGACGGAAAGACCCCGUGAACCUUUACUAUAGCUUGACACUGAACAUUGAGCCUUGAUGUGUAGGAUAGGUGGGAGGCUUUGAAGUGUGGACGCCAGUCUGCAUGGAGCCGACCUUGAAAUACCACCCUUUAAUGUUUGAUGUUCUAACGUUGACCCGUAAUCCGGGUUGCGGACAGUGUCUGGUGGGUAGUUUGACUGGGGCGGUCUCCUCCUAAAGAGUAACGGAGGAGCACGAAGGUUGGCUAAUCCUGGUCGGACAUCAGGAGGUUAGUGCAAUGGCAUAAGCCAGCUUGACUGCGAGCGUGACGGCGCGAGCAGGUGCGAAAGCAGGUCAUAGUGAUCCGGUGGUUCUGAAUGGAAGGGCCAUCGCUCAACGGAUAAAAGGUACUCCGGGGAUAACAGGCUGAUACCGCCCAAGAGUUCAUAUCGACGGCGGUGUUUGGCACCUCGAUGUCGGCUCAUCACAUCCUGGGGCUGAAGUAGGUCCCAAGGGUAUGGCUGUUCGCCAUUUAAAGUGGUACGCGAGCUGGGUUUAGAACGUCGUGAGACAGUUCGGUCCCUAUCUGCCGUGGGCGCUGGAGAACUGAGGGGGGCUGCUCCUAGUACGAGAGGACCGGAGUGGACGCAUCACUGGUGUUCGGGUUGUCAUGCCAAUGGCACUGCCCGGUAGCUAAAUGCGGAAGAGAUAAGUGCUGAAAGCAUCUAAGCACGAAACUUGCCCCGAGAUGAGUUCUCCCUGACCCUUUAAGGGUCCUGAAGGAACGUUGAAGACGACGACGUUGAUAGGCCGGGUGUGUAAGCGCAGCGAUGCGUUGAGCUAACCGGUACUAAUGAACCGUGAGGCUUAACCUU
rnacentral:rRNA from 1 species